ensembl:lncRNA
AUUAUCAUGAGGCAGGGUUCCCCAACCCCAAGAAGGACAGGUUAGAAGUGUAAUAUUAUCAUGAGGCAGGGUUCCCCAACCCCAAGAACGAGAUGUUAGAAGUGUAAUAUUAUUAUGAGGCAGGGUUCCCCAACCCCAAGAACGAGAUGUUAGAAGUGUAAUAUUAUCAUGAGGCAGGGUUCCCCAAGAAGGAGAGGUUAGGAGAAGUGUAAUAUUAUCAUAAGGCAGGGUUCCCCAACCCCAAGAAGGAGAGGUUAGAAGUGUAAUAUCAUCAUGAGACAGGGUUCCCCAAGAAGGAGAGGUUAGGAGAAGUGUAAUAUUAUCACGAGGCAGGGUUCCCCAACCCCAAGAAGGACAGGUUAGAAGUGUAAUAUUAUCAUGAGGCAGGGUUUCCCAACCCCAAGAACGAGAUGUUAGAAGUGU